AUGAGUUCAGUGCUAGAGAUAGAAGUCCUCUCUUCAUUUGCAAAACUGGUAAAAUAUGGGCAGCAGCAGUGCAAACUUCCUGGUACUGUGAGGCCAGAGUGCCUCCAUCCUGAGCAGGAGGAAUUCUGUCUGCAGGCAAGCAUUUCACUCUGUGUUCCCAUCCCAUUCAGUCCCUGGUCUCU
rnacentral:sRNA from 1 species